AAUAAAGGCCAAAGUUCGAGGUGGCAGAUAAAAAAAGCAACAAAAAAAUGAAAAGACAAAGAAAUAAAACCAACAGUCCAAAAAGCGAAACAAAAAAACAACAAUAGAAAAACAAGCAAUCCAAAGCAACAGAUAAGCAUAUAGAAUAAUCAAAACCACCUCGUCCUCCCCAAAAACUAAAAACCCCAAGGAAUAUCAGCCACAUCGUCCUCCCCAAAAACCGAAACAAACUUGAAACGAGCAAGGGAGAAAACUUUGGAAACCUUCCAUGGAGAUUCAACAGAACCUUCUCCAUCCUCCCAAAAAAAAAAACAACAAAGACCUCUUAACUUCGUUGGAUCCAAGCCUUCCAAUCCGCAGCCAGAACCAUCCUUACCGAUUUCAGCGGAUCAUGAAACCAAAUACAAGGGGACAUACAAUGCCGGCCUUCCAUAACUAGAGCAUGAGCCGCCCUAUCGACUGCCCUCGGUACAAAAAGCCGCAAAAACCAUUGCCCUUUCGCAUGCCCGAGCUUCAGCAACGAAGGCAUCUACCACGUCGUCCAAAGGGAGGAUGCCAAAGAUGAUGUAUUGUAGUAUUAGAAGAGACAGCCAAUUUCAUUUGACACAAGGAAAUCUCUUGAAUAUAUCCUCGAAUAAAGCCAAUUAGAUCCUGCAUAUGAAAAUUUUACCCUUCAUGAACUAAUUUGUUUCUUCUGUGCCAUAACGCCCAAAUAGAAAUAAUUAGGACCUGUCUAGUAUUGCUAUCAGCUACAAGAAAAGUAUUAACAAAUCUGUUUUUGCAACUUGAGGUAUUCCCAUUCGUAAUGAGCCUAAUAUUGAGGAAGGCCCAAAGCUGUUGAAGAAUGCCACAAGUCCACAUAAGAUGAUCAGAAUCCUCCGGAUCAACAUUACAGAGAGGGCAGUCAACCUGGACAAACAACCGACUUUGAACAAGAUUGGUAUAAUGAGGCACAUAGUUGUUAAACAGGCGCCACAUAUGUAUUUUGAUUUUAGCUAGAAUAUGUAGAUCCCAAAGCAAUUGAUAGAACUCUUUGUAUUUAGCAAUAGUGAUAGAGUUGAAAUCAUUAAACUGUAACUGCUCUGUAAUCAAAACACGAUAUCCGCUCUUAACGGAGUAAUCUCUAGUAGCCUCAUACUUCCAGACCAA